rnacentral:rRNA from 1 species
UACGUAGGGACCGAGCGUUGUCCGGAAUCAUUGGGCGUAAAGAGCGUGUAGGCGGCUUUACAGGUCCGUUGUGAAAACUCGAGGCUCAACCUCGAGACGCCGGUGGAAACCGUAAAGCUAGAGUCCGGAAGAGGAGAGUGGAAUUCCUGGUGUAGCGGUGAAAUGCGCAGAUAUCAGGAAGAACACCCGUGGCGAAGGCGCCGCUCUGGGCCGUGACUGACGCUGAGGAGCGAAAGCGUGGGUAGCAAACAGG